rnacentral:tRNA from 1 species
GCGGACGUAGCGAACUUGGUAGACGCAUUAGACUUGGGAUUUAAAAAAAGAUGGGAGUUCAAGUCUCUCCUUCCUCA